AACGAACGCUGGCGGCGUGCUUAACACAUGCAAGUCGAACGCGAAAGGGACUUCGGUCCUGAGUAAAGUGGCGCACGGGUGAGUAGCGCGUAGAUAACCUGUCUCAUGUCUGGAAUAAUACGCCGAAAGGGGUACUAAUACCGGAUAUUCUUGCUUUUCAUAAGUUAUGCAAGCAAAGGUGGCCUCUGCAUAUGCUACUGCAUGAAGAGGGGUCUGCGUACCAUUAGCUAGUAGGUGGGGUAAUGGCCUACCUAGGCGACGAUGGUUAGCGGGUCUGAGAGGAUGAUCCGCCACACUGGCACUGGAACACGGGCCAGACUCCUACGGGAGGCAGCAGUGAGGAAUAUUGCGCAAUGGGGGAAACCCUGACGCAGCGACGCCGCGUGAAGUGAGGAAGGCCUUCGGGUCGUAAAGCUCUGUCAAGAGGAAAGAAGUGUACAAUGGCUAAUACCUGUUGUAUUUGACGGUACCUCUAAAGGAAGCACCGGCUAACUCCGUGCCAGCCGCAGC
rnacentral:rRNA from 1 species